GAUGAACGCUGGCGGCGUGCCUAAUACAUGCAAGUCGAGCGAAUGGAUUAAGAGCUUGCUCUUAUGAAGUUAGCGGCGGACGGGUGAGUAACACGUGGGUAACCUGCCCAUAAGACUGGGAUAACUCCGGGACACCGGGGCUAAUACCGGAUAACAUUUUGAACCGCAUGGUUCGAAAUUGAAAGGCGGCUUCGGCUGUCACUUAUGGAUGGACCCGCGUCGCAUUAGCUAGUUGGUGAGGUAACGGCUCACCAAGGCAACGAUGCGUAGCCGACCUGAGAGGGUGAUCGGCCACACUGGGACUGAGACGCGGCCCAGACUCCUACGGGAGGCAGCAGUAGGGAAUCUUCCGCAAUGGACGAAAGUCUGACGGAGCAACGCCACGUGAGUGAUGAAGGCUUUCGGGUCGUAAAACUCUGUUGUUAGGGAAGAACAAGUGCUAGUUGAAUAAGCUGGCACCUUGACGGUACCUAACCAGAAAGCCACGGCUAACUACGUGCCAGCCGCCGCGGUAA
rnacentral:rRNA from 1 species